rnacentral:rRNA from 1 species
UACGUAGGGGCUAGCGUUAUCCGGAAUUACUGGGCGUAAAGGGUGCGUAGGCGGUCUUUCAAGCCAGAAGUGAAAGGCUACGGCUCAACCGUAGUAAGCCUUUGGAACUGUAAGACUUGAGUGCAGGAGAGGAGAGUGGAAUUCCUAGUGUAGCGGUGAAAUGCGUAGAUAUUAGGAGGAACACCAGUAGCGAAGGCGGCUCUCUGGACUGUAACUGACGCUGAGGCACGAAAGCGUGGGGAGCAAACAGGAUUAGAUACCCUGGUAGUCCCU